rnacentral:rRNA from 1 species
GCUCUCUGGACAGAGAGUCACACAGUACGUGGAAAUUGUUGAAAGGGAAGCGCUUGCAACCAGACUUGCCGCGGGUGAUCAGCCGGUAUUCUUACCGGUGCACUCGCCCGUGGUCAGGCCAGCAUCGGUUUGGGCGGCUGGAUAAAGUCCACCGGGAUGUAGCUCCCCUCGGGGAGUGUUAUAGCCGGAGGUGCCAUGCAGCCCGCCCGGACCGAGGACCGCGCUUCGGCUAGGAUGCUGGCGUAAUGGUUGUAAGCGACCCGUCUUGAAACACGGACCAAGGAGUCUAACAUCUAUGCGAGUGUUUGGGUGUCAAACCCAUGCGCGUAAUGAAAGUGAACGGAGGUGGGAACCCUUUAAGGGUGCACCAUCGACCGAUCCUGAUGUCUUCAGAUGGAUUUGAGUAAGAGCAUAGCUGUUGGGACCCGAAAGAUGGUGAACUAUGCCUGAAUAGGGUGAAGCCAGAGGAAACUCUGGUGGAGGCUCGCAGCGGUUCUGACGUGCAAAUCGAUCGUCAAAUUUGGGUAUAGGGGCGAAAGACUAAUCGAACCAUCUGGUACUAGAUGGAAUAUGGGCUUUCAAACGCCCACGUAGUCCUUGAUUGUAAGGGCGACACUGUCAGUCUUCAGGGACGCCUUUGGGCCACCUGCAGUGGGUCACAGGCUCAUUCACAGACUAAAUCACGGUGGCUGUGCGCCAAGGCACGGUUA